rnacentral:rRNA from 1 species
AGAUUGAACGCUGGCGGCAGGCCUAACACAUGCAAGUCGAGCGGCAGCACGGGUACUUGUACCUGGUGGCGAGCGGCGGACGGGUGAGUAAUGCCUAGGAAUCUGCCUGGUAGUGGGGGAUAACGCUCGGAAACGGACGCUAAUACCGCAUACGUCCUACGGGAGAAAGCAGGGGACCUUCGGGCCUUGCGCUAUCAGAUGAGCCUAGGUCGGAUUAGCUAGUUGGUGAGGUAAUGGACUCA